rnacentral:rRNA from 1 species
UACGUAGGGCGCAAGCGUUAUCCGGAAUUAUUGGGCGUAAAGAGCUCGUAGGCGGUUUGUCGCGUCUGCCGUGAAAGUCCGGGGCUCAACUCCGGAUCUGCGGUGGGUACGGGCAGACUAGAGUGAUGUAGGGGAGACUGGAAUUCCUGGUGUAGUGGUGAAAUGCGCAGAUAUCAGGAGGAACACCGAUGGCGAAGGCAGGUCUCUGGGCAUUAACUGACGCUGAGGAGCGAAAGCAUGGGGAGCGAACAGG